UUUUACAUUUAAUAAAAAUGGAUAACUGGGACACUGAAACAAGAAUUUGGAUUGUCCGCCGCUAUCACGCACUGGAGUCCGUAAUUUCGGUUCAAAGAGAGUAUAGGCGCACGUUUGGCGGCAAUCCUCCGAGCAGAUGGACCAUAAUGAGACCUGUAAACAAUUUUGCCGAGCAUGGGACAGUCAACAGAAGACCUUAUCAUCGAAACCGUUCAGUUCGAACGGAUGAAACAAUCGCUGCUGUAGCUGCUGCCAUACAAAACAAUCGUGUUUCGACAAGAAGCUUAUCUGCUCAAAUGGGUAACUAAUGUUGCAAACGCAGUCAAAAAUAAUGGUGACAUUGGAGGCUAUGCGUUCUAAUAUGUUGGAGCCAAAAGGGGAGCUCCCUGUAGGUUCUGAAGAACAGCUCGCCGCUUUGGACGAAAAAGUCAAGGAGUCUCCCGAAAAAUACAAGCCACCAGGUCUGACGGCUCUAGUUUCAAGGACCACACCAAAAAUGUCCGUAAAGCGCUCCAAAAGGCAAGGAACAGGGCCUACAAGGAUGACAAAAAAAAAUAACCAAAAAGGACUAAAAUAAUUUUUAGUUGCCAAAAGUUCCUUAAUAGUCUUUAAUUUUUGAUGUAGAUUAAAAA